AUUAAAUGCUUAAUUUCAUUUUAAAAUAAAAUCAACUACUUCUUUGCCGUUCUUUUCCGUUAGCCAGUAUCAAGACAUAUUGUUCUUUUGUUCGGUUUAAUUAAGACAGAAAAAUCUCUUUGGUUAGAUUUUACAGUUUUUACUUGUAUUGUAUGUGUGCUAAGGAAUAAUUUGUAAUUAUUUCAAAUAACUGGUUUUGUUUCAACAUUCCACGCAAUACUAUGUAAAGUUCGUAUUGUUGGCAUGAUUUGUGUACAGGAGAAUUACGGGAGAAAAUUGAGGCAAAUUCCUACAUUAUGGGGCCAACAGAUCAAUCAAGAGGCAAAAUUAUCUUUAAAUUAUAUCAAGAUAUGUGUAUACCAAAAUAAGAGGAAUAUUCAUUGUGUUUAUAUACCGUUGUCACUAUAAAGAAAUUCAAGAAAAUAAAAUCUGAUUUUCUUCUCCAAAAUAACAUGGAAUCAGAGCAGCUGUUACUUUACCCUCUAUAACCUUGAAACCAGAACCCAACAACGCAGAGACAGGAACUUUUCACCGUGGCUGAUGCAGACCCACAUUUGGAAGAAUCUUCUGCAUCUUCUAUUUUGUUCGAACUCACUGAAAAAAUGGUUGAGGUUGUCCAAAACAUCAGCCCCGACUCUGACUACCGACAUGUCCACUCCACCAAUCGGAAUUAAGCUAGAUGGGACCAAUUACACAAUGUGGUCUCAAGUGGUGGAAAUGUACAUAGCCAGCAAAGAUAAAUUGGGGUAUAUCAAUGGUGAUCUUCCCCAACCUCCAUCGACAGACCCAACUUUUUGCAAAUGGCGCACCGACAACGCCAUAGUGAAGGUUGGUUGAUCAAUUCCAUGGAUCCAUCAUUGAUUGGAAACUUCAUUAGAUUUCCAACGGCAAAAAUGGUGUGGGACGCCAUUGCAACAACCUACUUCGAUGGGAGCAAUGCCUCCCAAGUAUAUGACCUCCGUUGCUGAGUAACACGCUUAAAACAAGCUGGUAACUCACUGGAAAAAUACUAGAACAACCUGCAGGGACUAUAGAGAGAAAUUGACUUUCGAAGGCCGAAUCUAAUGCAGUGCCAGACCGAUAUUUAGAAAUAUAACAGCAUGUUACAAGAAGAUCGUGUAUAUACCUUCCAGGAUGGCCUAGAUGAUAAGCUAGAUGGUGCUCAAAGAGAUAUUUUGCAAAUGAAACGUUUCCCCACCGUGGAGCAAGCAUACGCCCAUGUCCAACAAGAGGCGGUAUGACAAGCAGUAAUGACAAAGGCCACAAACGAGGAACCACCAGGUGCUGUGAUGGCAUCCAAAAGCUUGAAGAUAGGAGCGCCUACACCAAAGGUCUCUAAAAAUGGAAAGAUGAAUUCCACUUCUAAAUUGAAGACUGUAUCCAACGAGGAGAAAUGAUCUUAUUGUGGAGGACCUAAACACACUCGGGAGACAUGUUUCAAGCUCAAUGGCUAUCCUGAAUGGUGGCUUAAAUUACAGGCAAAGAAAAAAAACGUGAUAAUGGCAUGGGUGCUUUGGUGGGCCAAGCUUCAGUUGCUGCAAAUGACUCGACUCUCUCCAAUUCCAGCCGAAGCCCAUAAUGUCACUACAUAGGAGAGCUACAAUGAUGCCAUCACAGGUACCAUUCUGCUUGGGUCCAACAUGGAUGAUGCUUAUACCGAGUGGAUACUUGACUCGGGAGCUUUCAACCAAAUAACUUAUGAUGAAAGGGAUUUCUCCCAAUGGUCUACACCCCGGAGAAUGAGCAUUGCAAAUGCUAAUGGAAAAGUUUGCUCGAUAAUCGAGGCGGGUACUGUGGUGUUGUCACGGGACCUAUCUCUAUCCAAUACAUUACUCGUCCCUUCUCUUUCCCAUAAAUUAUUAUCUGUGAGCCAGAUUACCAAGGAAUUAAAAUGUGUUGCGACUAUUUAUCCUAAUGUUUGUUUCUUCAGGAUAUUCUCACCCAGAAGAUCAUUGGGAGUGGUAUUGAGAAGGGGGGACUCUACUAUAUAGAGAAUUUGAAGGUGAGACAUGCAUGUCAGAUACCCAUCAGAAUAAAUCGAAGAAGGAGCAAAUUUGGCUUUGGCACCGCCGGUUAGGUCAUCCUUCAUUCAGUUAUUUAAAGUAUGUAUUUCCUAGUUUAUUUUCGGAUGUAUCAAGUUCAGAAUAUAAAUGCGAGACAUGCAUUCUAGAUAAAAGCCAUCAGACUAAUUAUCCUUUGAUUUUAAAUAAAAGUAUGGUUCCUUUUACAUUGAUUCAUUUUGAUGUGUGGGGCCCGUCCCCGAAACCUACUAUGCUUGGCUAUCGGUGGUUUGUAAUAUUUGUCGAUGACUGUAAUAGAAUGACAUGGUUGUAUUUUUUAAGACAUAAAUAUGAAGUAUUUGAUAUAUUUCGAUCCUUUUAUGAGAUGAUUUGCAACCAAUACUAUGUCAAACUCAAGGUUCUUUGCUUCGAUAAUGGUGGCGAAAAUGUGAAUACUCAGUUCCAUGAUUUUUUGCGCCACCAUGGAAUAAUUUAUGAGACAUCAUGUCCCCAGACCCCAUAGCAAAACGGGGUUGUCGAGCAGAAAAAUCGCCACAUCCUUGAGACUGCACGAGCCCUUCUUCUUCGAGCUAAUAUGCCCAUCCAUUAUUGGGCAGAUGUAGUCACAACGGCCAUUCAUGUUAUUAACAUAAUGCCAUCAAAAGUCCUUAAAAUGCAGACUCCUCUCCAAGCACUAUCCACUUUCGUCACCUUGCCUCGGUCCUGAUAAUUCUACCACGUGUCUUUGGAUGUGUUGCCUUUGUUCACCUCCACAAGGAUCAACGCACUAAAAUCGGUCCUCAUGCAAUUCGGUGUCUUUUCUUGGGCUACGACGUACAUCAAAAAGGGAAUAGAUGCUACAAUCGCAUUCAUCGGUGAACAUAUGUGUCAAUGGAUGUUACAUUUCUAGAAUCUAAGACUUUCUUUACGUCCAAAGCAUCCAAUUUUCCUCUUCAAGGGGAGAAUCAUGAGAAACAUGAUGAAGAGAUAAACUGGCUGCGAUUUGAUUGGUCAGGGUUUAAUGACCCGGAUAUAUCUCCACUAAUGGAAAUUGAAGGCACUAUUGAGAUUGAGACGACCCCUCCCGUAGAUCACCCUCAUUCCUUAACACCCAAUGACACUUCUCCUGAGAAUAUCAUUGAGGUAAACUCUCCUAGCUCUCCAAUUACACCUCAAAUUUCUAAUACCAUAAAUACCCUUGCUCCUGUUGGCUAUAAGUUACCUUUCAAGCAUAAUUGUGGUAAGCCACCAAAUCGAUACUCUCUUGAGGUGGAAGAACAACGGUUAAAAUAUCCUUUUCACCAGUUGCUAAACUUAACACAGUUAGAGUCCUUUUAUCAAUUACUGCAAAUCUUGAUUGGCCAUUACAUCAACUUGAUGCGAAGAAUGCAUUCCUUUAUGGGGACCUUGAAGAAGAAAUUUACAUGGACAUUCCUCACGGAUAUAUGACGAGUUCUAAAGCAAAUUUCAUUUGCAAAUUGCAGAAAACUCUAUAUGGCUUGAAACAAUCUCCUCGAGCUUGGUUCGGGAAACUGAGUUUGGCAAUGAAGAAAUAUGGCUUUCAACAAAGCAACUCUGAUCACACUCUAUUUCUAAAACGCAUACAGGGUAAAAGUACAACACUAAUUGUCUAUUUUGACGAUAUGAUCAUUACAGGAGAUGAUGCAGACGAGAUUGCAAGACUUCAAAAUCAGUUAUCGUCAGAGUUUGAAAUGAAGAACUUAGGAGGGCUCAAGUACUUCUUGGGAAUCAAAGUUGCUAGAUCUAAUCGUGGGAUAUUCCUUUCUCAGUAAAAAUAUGUACUUGACUAGCUGAAGUUAGGUUACUAGAUUGCAAGCCAGCUGAUGUACCAAUAAUCCAGACUCACUGACUUGGGGAAUAUUCGGACCAAGUUCCAACAAACAAAGAUAGAUAUCAGAGACUAGUUGGUAAACUGAUUUAUUUGUCACAUACUCGACCUGACAUUGCCUAUGCAGUAAGGUUGGUGAGCCAAUACACGCACUGUCCAAGUGAAGAUCAUAUGAAUGAUGCAAUGCAAGUUCUCCGAUACUUGAAGCCGUCCCCUAGAAGUGGACUUCUAUUUUCAAAAAAUGAUCAUCUAAAUGUUGAAGGCUAUACAGAUGCAGACUGGGCAGGAAACAUAUCAAAUAGGAAAUCUACUCUAGGCUAUUUCACAUUUGUUGGAGUGAACCUAGUUACCUAGAGGAGUAAGAAACAGAAGGUAGUAUCGUUAUCAAGUGCAGAAGCAGAAUUCCAAGGAAUGGCGAAAGGACUUUGCGAGCUUCUUUAGCUUAAGAAACUUUUAUCUGAGACUGGGUUUGCUCCUAAGUGCAAGAUGAAUCUAUUUUGUGACAAUAAGGCGGCGAUUGACAUUUCACAUAAUCCAGUCCAGCAUGAUCGGACCAAGCAUAUAGAAGUUGAUCGGCAUUUUAUCAAGCAGAAUCUCGAAGUUAUGACAAUUCGCCUUCCUUUUGUGAAGUCCGAAGACCAGUUAGCAGAUAUCCUAACAAAGGCUGUAUGUACUAGGAGAGUUCACAACUCACUUGGCAAUUUGGGCAUGAUAGACAUCUACACACCAACUUGAGGGGAAGUGUUGGCAUGAGUUAUCUGAAGAAAAAUUACAGAAGCAAAUUAAGGAGGCAAAUUUCUACAUUAUGGGGCCAACAGAUCAAUCAAGAGGCAAAAUUAUCUUUAAAUUAUAGCAAGAUAUAUGUAUACCAAAAUAGGAGGAAUAUUCAUUGUGUUUAUAUACCGUUGUCACUUUAAAGAAAUUCAAGAAAAUAAAAUUUGAUUAUCUUCUCCUAAAUAACACGUACUACAACUCUUAAAGCCAUACCAAAUCCUUGGGUCUUGACCAGAAUGUGUGCCUUCAUCUUCCCUUAGGAAAAUGUUGAGGACGUUCAUUAUCCUUCUCUAAGAGUUAAAUUUCAACUUUGGGACUUUGAUGGUCUCGGUCCCGAACUUUUUUUUGUUAUCUCGAUGAUCUUGAAAAGCUUUUUAACUUUCACAACAUGAAUGAGUCUUUCGUAUAUAUGAUGCUAAUAUGUCACUUGUUGGAUCUAAUAAAUGUUGUUGGAAGUCAUUUUUGUGUAAUAUUAGUCAUAGUCGAACGUGCGUUACACGUUAUUCUGAAAUGUUUUAUAGAUGCUAUAAAAAUAAUAUUUGAAAAAUGUGAGAAUAUAAAAAAAAAUUAAUAAAAGUGUUCAUGUGGAAAUGUGGAAUGAACUUUUGAUUAAAAUGAAAUAAAAAUUAGUUUUUGAAAACAAUUUAAAUAGUUGAUAAAGUCAAUUAGAAUACUCCCUCUAUUUACCCAUUUGAUCUGAACUUAACAUUAAACGAAUACUAUCAUUUCUUCAUAUUCGUUAAAUAUCUAUUGAAUAUAUUAAUUGAAAUUAUUUAUUAUAGAUAUGCACUAUGUUCCCACAUUUACUUUAUUCGUAUCUUAACAUUCAUUGAAUAAAUCAAUUAGAAGAAAACUCUAGAAAUAUACAUCUUUUGUUCCAAUUUUUUAAUGAAAUUAAUUUACUAUCCAAUCAAAUAAUAUAAAUAUGUCAAAUGUACUUUGAUCCUAACUAAAUAAUUGAUAAAA
rnacentral:lncRNA from 1 species